CAACGUCGUCUUUGAAAGUUCGAAUACUCAUUCGGAUGAGUUCUUUGUAGAGAAAGCUGAUGAAGAUUCUGCGAGUGUCUUUGCCUCUGAAACUCAGAAAGACAUCGAACUUUUGUGGAGUAGUAGAAGAAGACGGUGAAAACAUUGGAUUCGAGCACAAGUAAGCAUUGAUCUUUUACUUUAAAACUUUAGAAGAUGAUUGUAGAUUUACUAGGUAAUUAGAUAAUAUAUAUAACUUGAGGUUCGCAUUUUUUUUUAAUUACAAAGAACAAAAAUACUGAGACAUUUCCAAGAAAAUGCUGAGAAUUUGCCAAGAAAAUGUUUUAAAAAGUCAUGAAACAGAACGGGUCCAAAGAUGAAAAUCUCCAUAUACAUCAACCAAUAUUUGAGUUACCGGUCCACGUGUUUUGCUUGAUGUAUGUUACAUAUGUAAUGCAAAUUCUAAGUUUAUAAAAUCAUUAUAUAGAUACCUAACCAUUUGAAAAUUGUAUAAGUAUGUAUUUAUAUUAUAAAGUUGUGACGAAUUAUUAACGUUUGCAAUAUAAACGUGCAAUCGUAAGUAAGACAGGCGCGGAAAAAACGGUAGGGUGACGGUUGUGCCUCAUCAAACAGAAAAACUGUCUGUGGUCGGUGCAUAAUUGAUAAAGUUUUUAAUAUUACAACUUAUGAAUUAAGGUCAGUAACGUAGAGGAUUUAACAACAAUCGAACUGACUUUUUCUUGAAUAUGAUAUCUAACAGAAUAUUAAUUUCGAUAUUGCAGAUAGUUUGAUAGAAAAGUGUUGACGUUAAGACUUAGAAAGUAAAUAAAAGGUUAAUCUGUUGGUGCAACAAAUGAAAGCAGAUGAAAACAUAAAAUGUUAAUGAAACACUCACACCUCCUUUGGAGUUGGAGUUUCUUACAACCUUGGAUACAGAAAAUAACCAUUGAGAAUGUAGUUUCGGCCGUGACAUGAUCGAUUAUCACCACAAGCAUGACGUCGCAAGCAGAGCCGUCGAAAUGAAAAAGGCAUUUGCUUCAGCCUCCAGAGAAUAAGAAAAUUACAUAACACCUUGUCAUCACUAAUCUGUAUGACUAGGAAUAUUAAGACAUAAAAUGAAGAUUAUUAA